UCAAGCGAGAAGAGGUUUGCGGCGGAUGCCUGGGAGCUGUCCGGCGAAGAAGGCCGCGGUAAGCUGCGAAAAGCUGCGGGGAGGAGCACACAUCCUGAGAUCCGCAGAUAGCCGAAUGGGGUAACCCGUAUGUCGUAAGGCAUACACCGCGCGCGGGAAGAAGAUACUGCGACGGAGCGAUACUGCGUGAAGUGAACCAUCUAAGUAACGCGGGAAGAGAAAUCAAAAGAGAUUGCGCAAGUAGCGGCGAGCGAACGCGCAGGAGCCUAAACCCUUUUGUAGGGUGUUGCAGGGCCGCACGGGGAUGACCCGUGGAGUUAGGAAAAAACCGAUUUUUAGCGGAAGCGUCUGGAAAGGCGCGCGAAACAGCGUGAAAGCCGCGUAUGCGAAAGAUAUCGGACUCCAUGGUGCGGUACCUAAGUAGGGCGGGGCACGAGAAACCCUGUUUGAAUCCGGGUCGACCACGAUCCAAGGCUAAAUACGAGACAGCUACCGACAGCGAAGAGUACCGUGAGGGAACGGCGAAAAGAACCCCGGUGAGGGGAGUGAAAGAGAACCUGAAACCGCAAACCGACAAGAUGUCACGGCGCGCGAGCGUUGUGGCGUGUCUUUUGUAGAAUAAACCUGCGAGUUGCGUUGCGCGGCGAGGCUAAGGGUUGGAAGAUCCGGAGCCGGAGCGAAAGCGAGUGUGAAAAGUGCGAAAAGUCGCGUGACGCAGACCCGAAGCCAAGGUGAUCUAAUUAUGGGCAGGCUGAAGGCAGGGUGAAACCUGUUGGAGGGCCGAACAGUAAUCUGUUAAAAAAGGUAGUGAUGACCUGUGAUUAGGAGUGAAAGGCUAAACAAACCUGGAAAUAGCUGGCUCUCCCCGAAAUGCCUUUAGGGACAGCCUCAUGCAAAGCGGAAGGAGGUAAAGCACCGGAUGGGAUAGGGGGCGUCACAGUCUACCGACACCAAUCGAACUCAGAAUGCCAUCCGCCAACGCAUGGGAGUGAGACUGUGUGCUCCAAGGUUCAUAGUCGAGAGGGAAACAGCCCGGACCGACGGCAAAGGUCCCAAAAUAACGCUCAGUGUGAAAUGAGGUGCGUCUGCACAGACAGCCAGGAGGUUGGCUCAGAAGCAGCCAUUCCUUAAAAGAGUGCGUAACAGCUCACUGGUCGAGCAGGCGUGCGCAGACAAUGUAACGGGGCUAAGCGUUAUACCGAAGCCGCGGGUCCGCAUCGUAAGAGAUGCGGGCGGUAGGGGAGCAUUGCGCUAACCGAAGAAGGCGUACCCGUGAGGGGCGCUGGAGGAAGCGGAAGAGAGAAUGCAGGCACAAGUAACGAAAAGACGGGUGAGAUUCCCGUCCGCCGAAAGCCUGAGGAUUCCCGGGUAAAGGCAAUCUGCCCGGGGUAAGUCGGCCCCUAAGGCGAGGACGAAAGUCGUAGUCGAUGGGAAAUCGGUUCAAAAUCCGAUACCCGGCUCAGUUUUGAAGGCAGGACGCAUGAGGUGAAAUCCGGCAGGAGAACGGUAGAUUCUGUCCAAGCGGUAAGGUGUUGAGAGGGCGGUUAAAAGAGCCCUUGAGCUGAGCCGUUACGGGGAGCGGAGCGCAGGCGAAGCGAAGCGGAUGUAAUCAAGGUGCCGGGAAAUACUGUCUAAAGAUAGGCUGAGUCGGACCGUACCGGAAACGGACACACGCAGGCAGGAUGAGUAAUCUAAGGCGCACGAGCGACCCCGCGUUAAGGAACUCGGCAAAAAGCACACGUAACUUCGGAAGAAGUGUGGCUCACGCUGAUAAGGAUGUGAGCGGCAGAAAGCAGGCCCAGGCGACUGUUUACCAAAAACACAGCCAUCUGCGAACCGGCAACGGGACGUAUAGGUGGUGACACCUGCCCGGUACCGGAAGGUUAAGGGGAGGGGUUAGCAGCAAUGCGAAGCUCCGAACCGAAGCCCCGGCAAACGGCGGCCGUAACUAUAACGGUCCUAAGGUAGCGAAAUUCCUUGUCGGGUAA
rnacentral:rRNA from 1 species